UUGCCAUAUCAAUAAGCGGAGGAAAAGAAACCAACUGGGAUUGCCUUAGUAACGGGGAGUGAAGCGGCAAAAGUUCAAAUUUGAAAUCUGGUACCUUUGGUGCCCGAGUUGUAAUUUGGAGAGUACCACUUUGGGACUGUACUUUGCCUAUGUUCCUUGGAACAGGACGUCAUGGAGGGUGAGAAUCCCGUGUGGCGAGGGUGUCAGUUCUUUGUAAAGGGUGCUCGAAAAGUCGAGUUGUUUGGGAAUAA
rnacentral:rRNA from 1 species